GCUUACACAUGCAGUCGAACGGUAGCACAUAGGAGUUUGCUCCUUGGGUGACGAGUGGCGGACGGGUGAGUAAUGCUUGGGAAUCUGGCUUAUGGAGGGGGAUAACUACUGGAAACGGUAGCUAAUACCGCGUAAUGUCUUAGGACUAAAGGGUGGGACCAUUUGGCCACCUGCCAUAAGAUGAGCCCAAGUGGGAUUAGGUAGUUGGUGAGGUAAAGGCUCACCAAGCCCGCGAUCUCUAGCUGGUCUGAGAGGAUGACCAGCCACACUGGAACUGAGACACGGUCCAGACUCCUACGGGAGGCAGCAGUGGGGAAUAUUGCACAAUGGGGGGAACCCUGAUGCAGCCAUGCCGCGUGAAUGAAGAAGGCCUUCGGGUUGUAAAGUUCUUUCGGUGACGAGGAAGGCGAUUGUUUUAAUAGAACAGUCGAUUGACGUUAAUCACAGAAGAAGCACCGGCUAACUCCGUGCCAGCAGCCGCGGUAAUACGGGGGGUGCGAGCGUUAAUCGGAAUAACUGGGCGUAAAGGGCACGCAGGCGGUUGUUUAAGUGAGGUGUGAAAGCCCCGGGCUUAACCUGGGAAUUGCAUUUCAGACUGAACAACUAGAGUACUUUAGGGAGGGGUAGAAUUCCACGUGUAGCGGUGAAAUGCGUAGAGAUGUGGAGGAAUACCGAAGGCGAAGGCAGCCCCUUGGAAAUGUACUGACGCUCAUGUGCGAAAGCGUGGGGAGCAAACAGGAUUAGAUACCCUGGUAGUCCACGCCGUAAACGCUGUCGAUUAGGGGAUUGGGG
rnacentral:rRNA from 1 species